rnacentral:rRNA from 1 species
CAGUCGCCGCGGUAAUACGAAGGGGGCUAGCGUUGCUCGGAAUCACUGGGCGUAAAGGGUGCGUAGGCGGGUCUUUAAGUCAGGGGUGAAAUCCUGGAGCUCGACUCCAGAACUGCCUUUGAUACUGGAAGUCUUGAGUAUGGUAGAGGUGAGUGGAAUUCCGAGUGUAGAGGUGAAAUUCGUAGAUAUUCGGAGGAACACCAGUGGCGAAGGCGGCUCACUGGACCAUUACUGACGCUGAGGUGCGAAAGCGUGGGGAGCAAACAGGAUUAGAUACCCCCGUAGUCCCUGUCUCUUAUAC